AAAGGGAUAAGCGACGAACUUUGAGUGUGAGUCGAAAAAGUGAGAAUUGAGACGGAUUUGAUGGAAAAAAAAAUUUGAUACUUAAUUUUUGGUAGAACCAUUAUUUUGGCCCGUUAAGAUCAAGCUUGAAUCUUUAAUGUUCCAACAGUAACAAAGAAAGCUGAGUUAGUAGGGAUCCAACUACCAAUUACCAAUUACCAAUUACCAACUACCAACCACCAACGACCUUUGAGUUUGUGGCGGAAAAUGAAGGAACGAACAGUGGGAAGGCAGGAAAGAGCAGAGCAGAUUGAGCAGAAGCACCACUAGAGUUGCGGUGGUGGGAAGUGGAAUUCCAGGAGCAGUGUGUGCAUCAACUCUCGGCAGAAACGGAGUGUCUGUAACUUUGCUCGAGUCCGCCAGAGUCCCCGGCCGCCGCAUGUCCCAAUGAAGUUGUAGGGAAGUUGUUGAGGAUGGGAAGGAACUAUUGUUUGACCAUUGUGCUCCAUUUUUCAAUGCCUACAACACCAAGGUUUUGGGUCUUGUUCAUGAGUGGGAAUCAAAGGGUCUUGUUGCUUGCUGGAAAGAGAAAUUUGGCUUCUUUGAUCACAUUUCCAACAAAUUUGUUGACCCAGAAGAGGUGUGGAAAGUAGUUUGGGGCGAGUGUUGGGAGGUUGUAGUGGCUAGAGGAUGAAAAUUUGUGGUCAUUGAUAGGUUCAGAUGGGCAAAAUCUUGGCCAGUUUAAGGGAGUGGUUGCAACGGACAAAAACCUUGUUUCGCUCAGGUUUACAAGUGUUACAGGAAGACAACCACUUCUUGUACCCCUUAAAGGUUUCUCAAUAAGAAGUUCUGAAGUUUUAAGCUGGGCUCACUGUGAAAGCAGCAAGCCUGGCCGUUCUACCUCUAGGGAAGGCCCUUUUCCAGCUGCAAGCGUAGCCAGAGAGGAGAAAUGCCUUUGGGAUAAGAACAAGAGGCUUGCUAUCUGUGGAGAUUUCUGUGUUAGUCCUAAUGUUGAAGGUGCUAUAGCUAGCAGAAUAGCUGCUGCGUCAAAACUCACAGAGAUCCUCAGCAGCUUAUGAUAAUUAAUUAUUAGUGUUAUGACUUAGGACUUUAAUUAGUAAUUUGCUUUCUUUUCAUUUGGUACUUAGUGCUCAAGUGUGUAACAACUUGGUUCGACUCUACUAAGAAAUUAAUCUCAAAAGUAUAAGAACAUGUGUUGUCCAAUAAUCUAUGAAUUAUGAAGUUAUGAACUAUAGAUGAAGAAAUUCCAAUUCUCAUUUCAAGUUC